AACGCGAAGAACCUUACCUUCCCUUGACAUGUACCGAACCCAGAUGAGAGCCGGGGGUGCCGGAAAGGGAGCCGGAACACAGGUGCUGCAUGGCUGUCGUCAGCUCGUGUCGUGAGAUGUUGGGUUAAGUCCCGCAACGACCGCAACCCUUGUCACUAGUUGCUACGAAAGGGCACUCUAAUGAGACUGCCGGUGACAAACAGGAGGAAGGUGGGGAUGACGUCAAGUCCUCAUGGCCCUUAUGGGUAGGGCUUCACACGUCAUACAAUGGCGGAUACAGAGGGUAGCCAACCCGCGAGGGGGAGCCAAUCCCAAAAACUGCGUCUUAGUCCGGAUUGUUUUCUGCAACUCGAGAGCAUGAAGUGGGAAUCGCUAGUAAUCGCGGAUCACAUGUCUUGGUGAAUACAAUCCCUUCCCGGGUCUUGUACACACCG
rnacentral:rRNA from 1 species